rnacentral:rRNA from 1 species
GUGCCAGUAGCCGCGGUAAGACGUAGGGGGCAAGCGUUACCCGGAAUUACUGGGCGUAAAGGGGGCGUAGGCGGUAAAAGAAGUCUUCUGUGAAAACCUAUUGCUCAACGAUAGGCUAGCGGAUGAAACUGAAUUACUUGAGGGCACCAGAGGUAGACGGAAUUACCCGAGUAGGGGUGAAAUCCGCAGAUACGGGUAGGAACGCCGGUGGAGAAGUCGGUCUACUGGGGUGCACCAGACGCUGAGGCCCGAAAGCUAGGGGAGCAAACCGGAUUAGAUACCCGGGUAGUCCUAGCCGUAAACGAUGGGUGCUAGGUGUAGGGAGUGACAAACUCUCUGUGUUGAAGCAAACGCGCUAAGUGAGCCGCCUGGGGAGUACGUCCGCAAGGAUGAAACUUAAAUAAAUUGACGG